rnacentral:lncRNA from 1 species
GAAAUUUUUAAUAUUUGGAUGUGAAUAUUAGUUUAUUACAUUUUUUUCAUUAUUAUACUUGGAUAUUGAUAUUGGUUGCAGAUGAAUAUUUUGAUUAAUUAAGUUGUUUGUAUUUUGGAGAAUACCCUAUUUAUAAGGGAGACUCUGCCGAAAUUUUUAAAAUUUGGAUGUGAACAUUAGUUUAUGACAUUUUUUUUUCAUUAUUGUACUUGGAUAUUGAUAUUGGUUGCAAAUGGAUAUUUUGAUUAAUCAGGUUCUUUGUAUUUUGGAAAAUACCCUAGUUAUAGGGGAGACUCUGUCGAAAUUAUUUAAAUUAUAAUAUUAACAUUAGUUUAUUAUGACAAUAUAGUAAUGAAGUAUAAAGAGGGCAGAUCCGAUCCAGAUCCAUUAGAUCGCUCUAUUUUAGUGCUACAUGACAGACAUAGGUCUCAAUUAGUGGAUUCUGGUAAGGUAUAUAUGUAUAUAUAAAUAUAGAUGUAUAUAAAAACAUAAUCAUAAACCUUAAUUAAGUUUUUAUUUAAUCAAAAU